ACUUUUUUAGAAGUAUUUUGAGUUUUGGCUAAGAUCUUCAUGGUUAUAGACUAAUUUCUGGCGGAUUUGGCCUUUGAUGGUGCAUGAUGUCAUGAGCAGAGCCAGCCAGAGGCUGCCUGUCAAUUUUGUUUCCAGAAACUUCUUACUGGCAAAUCUGUUUCCCAACAAGAAGUUUCCAGCCUAUCCACACCUCCACUGGGAGUGUUUAGACUGUGCUCUCAAGCACAUGCUGUUACUCUUGGGGUGUCCUGUGCAAGGCCAGAUGUUGGAUUUGAUGAUCCUGGUGUGUCCCUUCCAACUCAGGAUAUUCUAUGACUCUCUGACUCCAAACCCACACCUCACAGUAUAGGAAAUGAGAACAGUGAUCUGAUUUCUUGGCCAAGUCCUGACAGACUGCCUUCAGAAGGAGAAGCUGGGAAACUGAUUUUUAAGAGUGACUCAGUAGAAUCAUCUGCAGCCCACCCCUGACUCAAACUACCAAUCAACCUGUACUGAAUCAGGAAGAAAUCUACAUCCCAAAUUUCCUGCAUGUAAGUUAGUUCAUGUCUCCUCUGCAACCUUGUGUGGAUGAUAAAGCUAUGAUUUGCCUCUUUCCCCAAGACUGCAACACUACUUAUAUUGCAGCUUUAAGGAGUUUUUAAUUAUUUUGAAAAUGGUCUUUCUAGUUCUGAUAACUCUUAAAAACGUUGCCAAGCAAGAGUAUCAUUUAUUAAAAAGUCAGUCCGCCAGCCUUUGCUACUCAGACUUUGCUACUAAUCUGUUACGCCUGUCACAAUAAGUUGACAGAUUGUCACAAUAAAUGGCACAAGUUUAGGAUGUUGUUUUGUUUAGCCUUUCUAUGAAGUACUUUGAAACACAUCUUAGUAGAGGAGUAUAAAGUAUAGCAAAUGAAUUCUGAAAGAGGGGAAUAAGUUAUACAGUAGUUAAAAAUUGUUAGAAUAAUAUUUUCUACUAUUUUUUGUUUACUUGGGGGACUACAAAUUACUGCAAGUGGUUGUGACUACCGAGGAAAUAAAUAUUGAUAAGGAACUUACUGCCUGAAAGCAAACUAGGAAUGUGAAUAUUUCAUUUACUUACUCAAAUUACUUAAUUGGUAAUUACUACUCAUAAGCAAGUUCACAUAGUGCAGCCUGCCAAAUAUUCAGCCCAAAAGAGGAAGCAAAGCUGGUCUUUUCCAAGAAAUGAAAAUGCCCAGCCACUGGUAUAUUUUUUAAUAGAUAUUUGUGUUCGGUCUGAUUUUCCACAGAGAUCUGAUAUUUUUCUUUCCCUUCUUUUUUUUUUCAUCCUGGAGAAAUCUCUGGGCAGAGAUGUAAUUUUGGUGUCAGUUCU
rnacentral:lncRNA from 1 species